UACGUAGGGUGCGAGCGUUGUCCGGAAUUACUGGGCGUAAAGAGCUCGUAGGUGGUUUGUCGCGUCGUCUGUGAAAUUCCGGGGCUUAACCUCGGGCGUGCAGGCGAUACGGGCAAUACUUGAGUGCUGUAGGGGAGACUGGAAUUCCUGGUGUAGCGGUGGAAUGCGCAGAUAUCAGGAGGAACACCGAUGGCGAAGGCAGGUCUCUGGGCAGUUACUGACGCUGAGGAGCGAAAGCAUGGGUAGCGAACAGGAUUAGA
rnacentral:rRNA from 1 species